UAGUCUGCUAUUGAACUCCUCUAUUGAAUUUUUCAGUGCAGUUUUUAUAUUCUUCAGCUCUGUGACUUCUGUUUGGUACUUUUUCAUACUUUCUAUCUAUUUC